rnacentral:rRNA from 1 species
GUGCCAGCAGCCGCGGGGUAAUACCGGCAGCUCGAGUGAUGUCCAAUAUUAUUGGGCCUAAAGCGUCCGUAGCUGGCCGCGCAAGUCCUUCGUGAAAUCCACCUGCCCAACAGGUGGGCGUCCGGCGGAAACUGUGUGGCUUGGAACCGGAAGGCUCAGAGGGUACGUCCGGGGUAGGAGUGAAAUCCCGUAAUCCCGGACGGACCACCGACGGCGAAAGCACUCUGAGAAGACGGCUUCGACAGCGAGGGACGAAAGCUAGGGUCUCAAACCGGAUUAGAUACCCCAGUAGUCC